rnacentral:misc_RNA from 1 species
CCAUGUGAGUCCCAACGUUGGGUUCGGUAUCCGAACGGAGUCUUCGUGGUGACGGGCAGACGGCCUCUGUCUGUAACGCGGUCCCAGCUGGUCGUAUUCUUUCUUUUCCUCGCCGUCGAGGAUUCACCAGGACUCGCCGGUCCGUCCGCGACACGCCGCGUAACGUUUAAAUGGAAAUCCUUGAUUGGGAUCACGGAUAUCCACCUCGAAAAUACGUGCCGAUUGCAUGCCGCUCGACUUGACUGGUUACUCGAGUCGCAAUUAAUGCGCUAGUUACACGAGUUCCCGGUAAACUCGUCACACACCGGCAGUGCCAUACUCCUCUUUGUUUCGGGCAUCGCUACCGAUGACCAUGUGACCGGAAGUGGCGACAUUCUGUUUCUGUAAAGUCAACAGUGUAAAGUUAGUUUUGUGAUAGUUAGUUUGUUAAUUGCAUUUGUUUGUUGCUAGAGCAGAGACAAUAUAUCUCGAUCGGCCACAAUUGGAGUAAAUGCGACUUAGCCUGAUCUGCCAAGGAGCUCACAAAGCUGAAUGGCUACGUCGGUGCCGUCAUCUCUAAGAACUCGCGGCUUAUCUGCGUUAUGGCUUCUCCUGCUACUAUUGCCAGCCGCACUUGCCACCUACAGCAUCGGCGUCGGAAGAGCUGACUGCACAGGACCUAUUGCAGAUAUUGUCUUUAUGGGAUAUGCAAAAAUCGAGCAGAAGGGAAAUGGUCUUCACCUUCGAACUUUUUCCAGGGCUUUCAUAAUAGACGAUGGCGUAGAAAGAUUUGUGUUUGUCAGCGUGGAUAGCGCGAUGAUAUGCCACGACAUACGGCAAGAGGUGCUGCGCAAAUUGCGACUCCAAUUUGACGACAUGUACACGGAGAGAAACGUGAUGAUUAGUGGUACACAUACUCACUCGAGCCCGGGUGGUUUCAUGCUCGACGUACUUUUCGAUUUGACCACAUUUGGCUUCGUCAGAGAGUCGUUUAACGCCGUCGUCAACGGUAUAACAAAGAGCAUCGAGCGCGCCCACAAUGCUGUUGCGCCUGGAAAGAUCUUUAUCACACACGGUCAAGUUUUAGAUGCUAAUAUUAAUAGAAGCCCGCAAGCCUACCGUAAUAAUCCGCAAUCAGAGAGAGACAAAUAUGAAUAUGACGUAGACAAGAUAUUAACGCAGGUCAAAUUCAUCGGCGCCGAUGAUAAACCCAUGGGUGCCAUAAAUUGGUUCGCCGUGCAUCCCACUAGUAUGAACAAUACCAAUCGCUUGGUCUCCAGCGACAAUGUAGGCUACGCUUCGAUCCUCUUCGAGAAAAUGAUGAACGAUAAUGGCGCGACUGGCAAGGGCUCGUUCGUAGGAGCCUUCGCCUCGACGAAUCUCGGCGACGUUUCACCGAACACACGUGGACCAAAAUGCGAAUUCUCCGGUAAAAACUGCACCGAUCAGUACACGUGUCCCGGGGAGAAGGAAAUGUGCUUCGCUUCUGGUCCUGGCAAGGAUAUGUUCGAGAGUACGAGUAUCAUUGCUCACAAGCUUUAUGAGGAGUCAUUGAGAUUGUGGCGGAGCGGCGAAGCGACGGAAGUUAUCGGACCGGUGCGAGUGGUUCAUCAAUAUGUCGACAUGCCGAAGCAGUCCGCGAAAUACUACAACCACACAACGGGUCAGAUCGAGGAGGUGCAGGGCUGCGUACCUGCGAUGGGCUACAGCUUCGCAGCUGGCACCACCGACGGGCCCGGCUCGUUCGCCUUCGAGCAGGGAACGACGACGCCUAAUCCGUUUUGGAACGCCGUGCGAAACUUCUUGGCUGCGCCGACGAAGGACGACAUUCGUUGCCACGGCGCGAAGCCCAUCUUGCUAGCCACCGGUCGGAUGAAGCUGCCUUAUCAGUGGCAACCGAGCAUCGUCUCGACGCAAGUCGCCGUGAUUGGAAACGUCGUUAUCGCCGGGGUACCCGGCGAAUUCACGACAAUGUCCGGAAGAAGAUUGCGAGAGGCUAUCAAGAACGUCACGAACGAUGCGCCCGACGACAGAACGUCCGUAAUAGUGGCAGGGCUGUGCAAUGUUUACAGCGAUUACAUAACGACGCCCGAGGAGUAUCAAAUACAGAGGUACGAAGGCGCAUCGACGAUAUAUGGUCCGCAUACGCUCACAAUUUACUUGAGACAAUACCGGGAGCUGGUACAGGCAGCCAUUCAACAAAAACCUGUACCAUCAGGACCGUCACCCCCGGAAUUGCUACAAAAAUACUUGAUCACUCUUGUACCUCCUGUCCUCUACGACACCCCGAAAUGGGGGCAUAACUUUGGCGAUUGUGUCCAGCAGCCGUCGAAAGUCGCGUCGCCGGGUGAUACGAUCACGGCAACUUUUGCUUCCGGUCAUCCUCGUAAUAAUUUAAUGACGGAGAUGACAUUUUUAACUGUGGAGAAAUUAGGAAAUGAUGAAGUUUGGAUACCAGUAGCCACGGAUGCUGAUUGGGAGACCAAAUUUCAAUGGACAAGGACGUCGAUGAUACUGGGAUCGAGUCAGGUGACCAUUACGUGGAAAAUCCCACAGGACGUUAAACCGGGCGAGUAUCGUAUCAGACAUAAUGGUUAUUAUCGCUAUAUUCUCGGUGGCGUGUAUCCUUACUACGGUGUCACCAAUCAUUUCCAAGUGGAAGUUCCUACAUAAAGAUUCUGUAGAUAUUAUUAAAACAAUCACUUGGUGCCCAGUGCCUGCCUGAGUCAAUAAGGAAAUAAUUACGCUUAAUUAUAAUCAAAUCGAUCCCGCUGUGUAAUCAACGCAUGUGUAAAUAAUAUUCUGUUUGAUAAAAUAGUGGGAUUAUGCGGAUUAAGAAUAAUCAACGAUAUAUUUCAACUUAUAAUAUUCAUUUACGUACGAUUGAAACAGAAGAUUAUUUAUGAGAUUCGUGAGAUUAUUUGCGAGCUUCAUCUGAAAAAAGUCUAUUGUUACUGUAAAAAAUAUUGACCUACUUUGAGCAAUAAAUGGACUGCUGUGUAUUGCAUCACA